rnacentral:tRNA from 1 species
GGGCGAUUAGCUCAGCCGGGAGAGCGCUUGCCUUACAAGCAAGAUGUCGGCGGUUCGAUCCCGUCAUCGCCCACCA